AUCCAGCUAACGAGUCCCAAAUAGGACGAAAUGAGCGUUCUGGAU
rnacentral:hammerhead_ribozyme from 1 species